rnacentral:rRNA from 1 species
GACAUAGGGUGCGAGCGUUGUCCGGAUUUAUUGGGCGUAAAGAGCUCGUAGGCGGCUCGUCGCGUCAGCUGUGAAAACCCGCAGCUUAACUGUGGGCUUGCAGCUGAUACGGGCGGGCUAGAGUUCGGUAGGGGAGACUGGAAUUCCUGGUGUAGCGGUGAAAUGCGCAGAUAUCAGGAGGAACACCGGUGGCGAAGGCGGGUCUCUGGGCCGAUACUGACGCUGAGGAGCGAAAGCGUGGGGGAGCGAACAGG